GGCACAAUAGCUCAGUGGUCUAGAGCACUAGACAUGAAUCCUGUGACCCGGGUUUGAUUCCUGGUUGAGCCA